rnacentral:lncRNA from 1 species
UAAUGUGCCCCCACAGCCAUGUCAGGAACAGGAGGAGGACCUCGUCCUAACAUGAGCAAAGUCAAAGGCCCGGUUCUUUUAGAUCGGAUGGGGGGAGAGGCUUUACAGCGCCCUAAUGUGCCCCCACAGCCAUGUCAGGAACAGGAGGAGGACCUCGUCCUGACAUGAGCAAAGUCAAAGGCCCGGUUCUUUUAGACCGGAUGGGGG